CUCAGUUCGGAUCGGAGUCUGNAACCCGACUCCGUGAAGCUGGAUUCGCUAGUAAUCGCGCAUCAGCCAUGGCGCGGUGAAUACGUUCCCGGGCCUUGUACACACCGCCCGUCAAGCCAUGGAAGCCGGGAGUGCCUGAAGUAUGCAACCGCAAGGAGCGUCCUAAGGUAAAACCGGUGACUGGGGCUAAGUCGUAACAAGGUAAC
rnacentral:rRNA from 1 species